rnacentral:lncRNA from 1 species
GUGAUGGGAAAGAUUGCGUCCAAGCCACUGUCAAUCAGAGUAUACAAUACUGGUCUAGACAGACAAAUUGCUUGGCUUGGUAUAAGGAAUGUUCUGAUCCUGAUCUGUUUCCUUCCUGUAUUCUCUAUGUUUCUUCCCUGUGCCAGUCCCUGGACCCAUCUAACAAUGACUCUUCUGAUAAUGACCUGAAGCCAGUAUAAUCUGCCACAUAGACCUCGAAUAUGCUGGAGGUAGAUCUCAGGGAUGACUCUCUGAAGCAGGGAAGGGCAAUUCUGAGUGGGAAUCAGCCCAUAUGCACACCCCAUUUAGGGCUGCCUGCUGCCCUGGGGGCAGGGUGUCACAUUGGAUAGGACAUGAUUGGAGGCCAUUGAAUGGCAUCACCCAAUGCAUGGAACCAUAGAAUUGUAGAGUUGGAAGUGACCCCACAGGUGACCUAGUCCAACCCCCUGUAAUCCAGAAAUCACAACUAGAGCAUCCCUGACAGAUGGCCAUCCAACUUCUGCUUACAAACCUCCCAUGCCAGGGGUGCCAACUUGAAUAAAAUAUUGAGAGGCAGGCAAGCCCUGUGCUGCAUAAUCGAUCACAAGACAUGGCACACAUGAACCAUUCCAAUGGCAACGCCCAUUGAAGGGACCUCGGCCCCUAGGAGGUGGUUCCUAUGCCAACACCACCAUGUGACUUUUCCUGGUGCAAGAGCCCUGGCAUAUAUUGUCACUCCCUCUGUUUGCAUUUGCUGGAGUUGCAUACACCCCACAUUAUGAGAGUGCAGUGGUGCAAUCUCCCUUGGUGUACAGCCGGACCCUACCACAUUCCUCCUCCUGCCCAGCACCACAGUUCGCCAUGGCUUAUAUUUUUCAUUCUAUACAAAUCACCCGCCUGACAGAUGGCACAAAGCUAAAAUGCACACCGAUGGAUGUGGGGCAGAAGAGCUGCAUUCUCCUGCGCUGGCUGUGCCCCUGCAGCUGGGCAUCGAAGACAGCCUCUCCCGUGGGCCCCAUGAAUCCUGCCUUUGCCCUUUUGCCACUGCGGCAAGGAAUGUCGCAGGAUCCUGGGGGCAGAAGCAAUGAGGUGGAAUCAAGCAAGGGGAAAUUUAGGCUGAAUCUUCCGGAAUGGCUCCCCAAUGGGACUGCGAGCUGCCUUCCAGCAUCUCUGAAAACCAUAUUGCGUGAGACAUUAAAACAGUGGAGCUGCACUGGGCCUGGGGGCUGCGGAGGGAGGGAGAGAGAAAGAGAGGCAGAGAGAGAAAGAGACAAGGUGUCCGGGGCACUCAGAGGAUUGGCGGGACAAGGUUGUGCAACCAGCAGCGGAGAAUUCAGAGUACUAAAAAAGAAAAUAGCAAAGCAAGGCAAUGAAUUGGCUGCAAGGACUCCCCCGCAGGCAAUGAGAAUGAGAUGGUGUGAAGGGCACUGAGGAGGAAGAGCCCAAGGGAAAAGAAGGACAGGCGUACCCAGGAGAACUGAACUGGCUGGUGGGAGCAGGUACGGCAAUAACAGGGAGAGGUGCACCACAGUCCUUCUGGAUGUUGUUUUGUUGGGGAGGUCAAAUCCACUUUGCUCAUGUCCUGCUUGCAAGAGUCACAUAGGCAUCUGGCUAGCCACUCUGAGAACAGGAUACUAGACUAGAUGGCCCACUGGCCUGAUACUUGCAGGCUGUUCUCAUGUUCUCCUUUUCUAGGCUUACCAAUGAUACCAUGAAGUCACCCAUCCAAGUCCAGAUAUCAUUUCCAUCUCUGAUCUGAGGAAGAGUCAUUGGCUAGAUCAGGUGUCUUUUUCAGACCCAGGACCCACUCACUUUUCACCCAAACAUGCAUAUGGGUACCUUUUCUUAACCUUUUACCGUAGGUUAGCAAGGCGGUAGUGCUUCUGUUGCAACCCACAUUGGAUCAGACCGCAACCCACUCACCAGUUGAAGAGCAGUGGACCACAUCUGCUGACAAACGGUCCCAGGUCCAAUCCCUGGCCCCUCACGUGGUUCCAAGUCUCCCAGUUGGGAAGGAAGAAGCAGAGGUCAGGUGGGAAGAAGGAGACGCAGCAAAAGGACCUAGGACAGUAGGAGGAACCUACCAGACCAGCUACAUCUUCCCAGGAGGAGGUGGGGAUAUAGGGGUGCCAACUUGAAUAAAGUAUUGUGGGGGGCAUGUUAAGCCCCACCCCGCAUAAUCAAUCACAUGAUGCAGUCUACACACACCAUUUGAAUGGGAAUGCCCAUCAGCUUGCUGGAAGCCUUACUGAGAUCAUAUGUGCAAAGCAUUUUGAAGCAUCUUGAAGCAUCUCAGCAAGUUUCAGGAUGGAAGCUGGCUGUGUUUGUCCCUUGAAGCAAACAUAGCAGAGUCUGGUGGCACCUUGAAUCCCACCGGAUUUAUUGUGUCAUAAGCUUCUGUGGUCUUCCCAUUCAGACGACAAGUCCCUCCUCUCAGUCUCGCUGGCAUAGUCCAAAGGAAAGCAAAACAGUACAU